GGAGUGCCGUGACUCUCUGCUCACACCCCCGGCUCUGCCUGGGGCCUGCCAGGGGGGAGGCCCAGAGAGGGUGGAGGUGAGGUGGGAGGAGGAGGAGGACCUCCCACACUCAAGAGCCUGGGAUGGGGUGCCCUGUGGGGCCUGGGGAUGUUGGGGGGGAGGCAGGAACAGGAACCAGGAGGAAUCUGGAGGAACAGACCCACCUGGGACCCAGGCUCUGGCUUGCAGCCUCUGUCCCAGGUGAGGAGAAAUAAGUCCUUGUCCACAGGGUGGACAGCACAGCAGAGGCCAGGCUCUGCCAGGGAUGACGGGAAUCUGGGGACAGCCGAGGGCCCAGAGGCUCAGGACGGGCUCCUGGGGGCCAGGUUUGGGGGUACACCUCUCUCCCAACCUUCUUCAGUCCUGGGCCCCCAGACUUCCACCUGCCCAAGACUAAGACUCCCCAGCCUCAUCCCCUUAACCCCCAAUUUAGGCCCCCCAUUCCAGGCUCAGAGCCACCAGGUGGUGAGGCAGAAGCUUCCAGAGAAAGCCAUUCAAGAAGAGGCAGCAGCAGAAGCAGGCGAGUGAGAAAAGAGGACAGCCUUGCAGGCCGGAGCAGAGAAGAAUGCGAGGGGCCAUAAGGAAGCGGGAGAGAGGAGUGAGACCGGAGAACCAGAGAACCAGCAGGAGAGGGCCGGGAGGAAGGCCAAAGCCAGAGCGAGCUCCAUCCUGGGAAGGAGUCUGUGUACGGUGCUGGGCUGCCUGGACCCCCACGGCAAACCUCCGGUCAAUAUCGUCCCCGUUUCACUGAUGGGAAGCGUCUAGAGGCCGAAGUCGCGAGCCCAAGGCCGCCUGGCAAGAAACGGUGGAGCUGGGACUUGAACCCCAGAGCCCAUGGUGGAGGCAGCCUCUUGUCCAGUCCCCACCAUUCUCCCCUCCUGAGCCUGCCGGAGCCUCCACAGGAAACCCCCAGGCCCAUAAACACACUGGCCGAACCAAGUCCCCUGCCGGAGUUUCCCAUCUGACCCUGGCAGGUGACCGAGCGGGAUGGGAUAGUGGCGAGGACCAGCGGCCAGCCUUCUGUGCUUGGUUGGGAGACUGUCGGAGGUCACAGGUGGGCGGGGGGAGGCUCUGACCCCAGGCCUACACUGAUGGAGGGAACACUUGCUUCUGUCCACCUCCAAGGGACUGA